UACGUAGGGUGCAAGCGUUGUCCGGAAUUAUUGGGCGUAAAGAGCUCGUAGGCGGUUUGUUGCGUCGGCUGUGAAAUCCCGAGGCUCAACCUCGGGUCUGCAGUCGAUACGAGCAAACUAGAGUGUUGCAGGGGAGACUGGAAUUCCUGGUGUAGCGGUGAAAUGCGCAGAUAUCAGGAGGAACACCGGUGGCGAAGGCGGGUCUCUGGGCAGUAACUGACGCUGAGGCACGAAAGCGUGGGGAGCGAACAGG
rnacentral:rRNA from 1 species